AUAUCCCUGCGGUGCGCGUUGGAAAUUUGAUAAUUUUUGAACCAACAAAAAUAUCAAGGGAGCCUGUAUUCUGUAGCGCUUUUGCGCUAUAGAGAGGGCAUCCACCUUUAAAAGCAUGGUUCAAGCUAUUCAGUCCAACGGCACAAUGCGGGGAUUUU
rnacentral:other from 1 species